rnacentral:rRNA from 1 species
GAGGACACACGUCUCAGGAUGCGCAACUCUGGGACGCGAAGUAGUAGCAGUAGUGGCAGCUGGGGAAACAGGCAGAGCCAAAGCUCCCUUUGUGCUCAACGGUCUAGAGGGCCAUGCCUGACCUCGAGGGAGAGGGUACCGAGAGAAUCGGACUGGGCUGGUGCUGGCUCUUGGCGUGAUUGGAGCGCGCGAGAUGGAGACAGAGAGAAACGAAGAACGUUGGUCCUAGGCGGGGAAGGGGCUGGGCUUAGCGCGCCUCUACCUGCGGCCGCCGCGGCUGGACUCCUCGUCGUAGUUCUUCACCUUCUAGUAGAUGGGCCACAUGGAGUUGAGGUUCUUCUGCCACCGGCUCCCGGCGGCGUAGCGGCGGCGGUUCCGGACGGGGCUGGGGUGGACGUAGCUCUAGCGGCUGUCGACGCGGAUGGAGUUCUAGGGAGCGCGGUAACUCAACCUAUUCCGUAUGGGCGCCCUAAAGAAGGUCCACCCCUCCCACUCCCACGUCGAGUGGUUACUACUGCCGAGGGGUCAGUUGGGACGUUAGUGUUGUUUCUUCGUCGAUUACUAGGUUUAUCGUCUCGACCAGGGGUUCGUAGUACCCUCCUGAUUCUUCGUCCUUGGUCACCGUCCAGGUAGUCAAUGUUGAUGAUUGUUCUUUUUAUUCUUCUUCUUCAUCGUAAGACACAACAAAAAGACAAGUAUCUUUCAAAAGAUCUUUUAAGCAGUCUCCCUCAAGAACCGACAGACAGACGAUACUCCGGACUUUUUGACACUUAAAAGACUUAAAGAAUAAAAUAUACCACUGAAGACGUUGGCAAAAAGAACACCGGAACUUUCUGAUUUUCACCCUUGAUGGAUGACAACAAACGUCGUAACUCUCUCACUCAAACGUCUACUAAAGUCAAACCAUGAACGUUUAGGUUACCUUUUAUAUGAAACAAUCUUUGAUCAUGCUUACCUACCUCAAGGUGGACUUUUCUAUACACACCGGACCGGGAUAUAUAUUAAAUUCCGGCGCAAACCAUACCUACAUUACAUUAUUAAAUUAUGUACACAUAAAUUGAAUGGCCACAUUGAAUGGCCGGUCUCGAUAAAGGUCGGUCUUUGGUUUUACUGCCCACCUGCAGGCAUAAAAAAUAUUCACAUACAUCUUCCUUUCGCUAUUACGUUUGUUCCGCCACACAGCGACCUUCGUUCACCUUUACGUUAACAAGGUUAAAAAAAGAGCACUUACAAACCAAACGUCUUACGGUGACUUCUUUUACAAUAGAGGACUUAGAAAAAAAAAGAAAGAAGAUUCACAUAUGGAAUUCAAAACCAACAGAAGCACCGUACGAUAGUGUGCACACCCACACCGCAAGUGAUCAUGGGGGAGGCUAGGUAUGAGAAAUAACGAGUUUGCCUACAUAGGCUGAUAAAAUCUCGAUCUAUGUAGAUAAACUCGCUGUUUAUUAUACCCAGCCUCCCUCAUCAUUUUAACAGAGGUCC